rnacentral:lncRNA from 1 species
UACACACAAAAUUAGUGGGAUAUGCUCUUUUGCUUUUCAAAAGUUUCAAAGUAGAUGCUCAAGUGGCCAAGACAAUAUGCAUUUUCACCUUAUUUUAUCUAAGUGGUGUGUAAUUUGAAAUGUUUAUACUAGAAAGCUGCAUGAAUCAUAUAUCUUACUACAUGUCUGCAUAACGAGGUCAUGUGAAGACAUAAUAACAUCAUGAUUUCUUUCAUCUGGCUAUCUUGGGCCAAAAAAUAUAUCAGAAUUUAUAUAGUGAUUAUUGUAAAAUCUAAAUAAUCCAUGUCCAAAUGCAUAAAUAUGAGAAAAAGUUUCAGAAAGUAGACUAAAGCUUCCUGUAAAGAGGAACACCAUUGCAUAUACUAUUCAAUUUUUUUUUUUGGUUUAUUCGAUUCGACUGGUUGUAAACAUUUUUAGACCCAGUGGCCAGUAGUGGGGUAGCCGUUUUCAAAAGGAGAAAUAUAAAAGUUUGUCAAAAGGCAAUUUAGCACAACAAUGAACGAUGUAUAAUAAAGUACUCAGAUGAAUAUAGGAUUCGACGAGAAAACAUUCUCUUGCGUGAAUGAAAUGCAAAAUACACCUAGGAAUUACGUAAGUAAGUAUGGCUUUUAUACAAAACUAGGUCAAACACGCUAAAUCCAGC